GUUAGUCUCCUGAUCACUAACUGAAGGAGGUUCUUUAAUUCUUACUGAUGAGGAAGUCAUUUAUCAUUUUUUCAUCAACUCUAAGACUCAGGUGCCACAAACUCAAGGCAAGCCUAAUUUUAAGGGGGAAAGACUGAGAUAGGAAGCCCUGCAGACUUAGCCACUCUGGCAUAGUAUUAGAAGGACAAUGACCUGAAUAGAACAUCUGGUAGACCAACCAGGAACCAUUGCAGUGCUGGCAGGAAUCCAGACCAUCCACAGCGUUUUCUCAACCGCAAGCUGAGCAGAACAAGCUUUACCAUAGCAAUAAGACACAAAAAGCAGUAGCGCCAGUGGAUUGACUCAAACUGCCAGUCCUCAGUCUCCACCUGGCUUGGAAGUAAGACCGACACCCGCUAAACUGAGUACACCUCUGCAUUCAUGGAAAAUUAAUUGAAAAUCAAGACACUUGUCAACCUUUUUGUUUCCAGCUGCUAGAGCAGACCACAUGGCUAACAAUGACUAAGUACCUGUUACAAAUCAGGCAUCAUAGAAGAAACUUUUAAAAUGUUCCCAAUAAUCAAUGAGAAGUUGUGAUUAUUCUAGGCAAACAGAGUCACAAGAGAAAGAGAAAAAAAAAAAAAAGCUGUUGUCCAGAGACAUAAAGCUAUUAAGCGGUAGAUUGAAUAUUCAAGCCCAGGACAACCUGACUUGAAAAGUCAUGUUCUUUUCACUAAAUUAUUUUGGCCGCCACUGAAGAGACAAGAAAUCUCAUGGGGAGACAUUAGCAGAUCAAGUUACUCAGAGAUCAUCCACAAUACUUAACUGGUUGUUUUAUGUCUGGAUUAGAUAAUACAACCCAUGUUUACAAUAUUAAGAAGAAAUAUGAGAUGGGCCCAGAACCAGCCAUCAAUUCCAGUGAUGCACAAGCCUCCAUAUUUCCUUGGGUUCACUGUGAACUGGUUAAUGCAAAGCUUGACAAAUUUAAGACAUCCUGAAAGUCCCUGAUGAGGAGUUUUCUGGAUAACCAAAGAUGACCUCGAUUCUCACUUCUCUUGUGGAGCCACUGAACUCACUGUAGAGAGGCCUUGAAAAUGUCUCUCAAAGUCUCUUUCCGCAUGUAAAUAAAGAAAGCUGGAGGGGUUUGUCACUGAUCUAAAAUCCACAUACUAAAUGAUCUUGCUGGAGCACCUCUAGAACCUAGUGGACUCUGCACUCCUAAAGGCAAAGGGAUGACUAACACCAUUGUAUUAUUUUAAAAACAUCCUUUCUCUGUUAUAUGAUGAAUUGUGGAAUAAAGGCAAAUUUAUAUGAGUAAAAGAC
rnacentral:lncRNA from 1 species